GACGAACGCUGGCGGCGUGCCUAAUACAUGCAAGUCGAACGAACCGCGACUAGGUGCUUGCACUUGGUCAAGGUGAGUGGCGAACGGGUGAGUAACACGUGGGUAACCUACCUCAUAGUGGGGGAUAACAGUCGGAAACGACUGCUAAUACCGCAUAGGACAUAGGAUCACAUGAUCCAGUGAGGAAAGGUGGCGCAAGCUAUCGCUAAGAGAUGGACCCGCGGUGCAUUAGCUAGUUGGUAGGGUAAAGGCCUACCAAGGCGAUGAUGCAUAGCCGACCUGAGAGGGUGAUCGGCCACAUUGGGACUGAGACACGGCCCACACUCCUACGGGAGGCAGCAGUAGGGAAUCUUCCGCAAUGGACGCAAGUCUGACGGAGCAACGCCGCGUGAGUGAAGAAGGUCUUCGGAUCGUAAAGCUCUGUUGUUAGAGAAGAACAGCGCAUAGAGUAACUGUUAUGCGUGUGACAGUAUCUAACCAGAAAGCCACGGCUAACUACGUG
rnacentral:rRNA from 1 species